GAUGAACGCUGGCGGCGUGCCUAAUACAUGCAAGUCGAGCGGACAGACGAGGAGCUUGCUCCUCUGACGUUAGCGGCGGACGGGUGAGUAACACGUGGAUAACCUACCUAUAAGACUGGGAUAACUUCGGGAAACCGGAGCUAAUACCGGAUAAUAUAUUGAACCGCAUGGUUCAAUAGUGAAAGACGGUUUUGCUGUCACUUAUAGAUGGAUCCGCGCCGCAUUAGCUAGUUGGUAAGGUAACGGCUUACCAAGGCAACGAUGCGUAGCCGACCUGAGAGGGUGAUCGGCCACACUGGAACUGAGACACGGUCCAGACUCCUACGGGAGGCAGCAGUAGGGAAUCUUCCGCAAAGGGCGAAAGCCUGACGGAGCAACGCCGCGUGAGUGAUGAAGGUCUUCGGAUCGUAAAACUCUGUUAUUAGGGAAGAACAAAUGUGUAAGUAACUAUGCACGUCUUGACGGUACCUAAUCAGAAAGCCACGGCUAACUACGUG
rnacentral:rRNA from 1 species